AAGACUAUAGACCUGCGGAGUACCUGCGGAGGGAUCAUUAUCGUAUUGUAACAAUUGGGGGGGCCACCGUGGGCUGUCGCUGACCCUUUGAAAGGGGGGUCGUGCACGCCCCCAUAGUGUCAUCCUCAUACAAUCCAACUCACCUCUGUGCAUCACCGCGUGGGUUCCUUUCUGGGUCGAGUCAGACUGGCUCAGAAAAAGGGGCUUGCGUUUUCCAUACAAAUACCCUUAUAAAUCCAG
rnacentral:misc_RNA from 1 species